ACAGUAAAAGGUGGGGAGCAGCCAUCUUAGAGAGAGCUGAGAAACUGUGAGAGGAUCCUACUGUAUCCAGGUGUGGGAGCAUACUUCAGUGACCAGACCUAAGUGAAGCUGCUUGUGUCUGAGACCUCGAUCCUGUCCAGAGGAAUGAGGAUUGCUUCCAGGAACAUGGAUGAGAGCUGAGGAGCAAAACAACAUAGACUGUGCUACCACACGUUUGUUGGAGAGGCAUUUGUUCUGUUCAGAGUCACCAAGAGCAGACCCAGCUAAAUUAAUUACAUUUGUAAUGGAUGCUGAUCGAUUAAGACGUAUAAUGCAGAUCAAAUACACGUCAAAGAAUUAUUGGAAUUGGAAUCUAGAAGAAUGAUUUAAAGUUCCACAGAAUUUAUACAGACAUAAUCUCUUCUGAAGGACAGAUGGAGAGACGGUCACAAAAAGAAGAAGACAAGAGAUGGAAGAAUAGGGGCUCAGUUGGACAAGUCAGCAGGAAAGAGCAUAGAGGAGAUAAGAAGAAAAGAUUGAGGCUGGGAGGAGACCAGGAGAAUGGAUACGGCAGCUUGGGCUAUAAAGCUUUGCAAGGGUUGGACAAUGUCACUGCUCUUUAAAAAAAAGCUAAGCAAAUACGAGAUGACAAUGACAUUGUGGCGCACAUUGGUGCCUGACAAAUAUCAAAAGAGUCCACAGACAACAACUUUAUGGAGAAUAAGCUGGACAAAGAGCAGCGAUAUCAGGUACAAACAGGCCUAAUUCACUAUUGUGUUUCCUUGGUAGGUGAAAAAAAA